rnacentral:rRNA from 1 species
AUGAGAGAGCGAGACGCCGCCGGUUGCUUCGCACGGCCGCGUCGCCGCCGACGACGCUGCCGGCGACCAGGAGGCAGGACGCCGUACCGCCUCGCUACCGGCUACUACAAGGCAAGCUGGCUGUUUGAUGAGAUGUCGGAACUAGCUUCAAUCCCCUGCACUUCCAAGAGGGCGCGAGGCACCAGUGACGGUGUCGACAGGCUCAGCAGCCUUCCAGACGAGCUGCUACACUGCGUGAUGUCCUUCCUGCCGAUGCCGGAGGCCGUGCGCACAAGUCUGCUCUCGCCAAGGUGGCGUAAUCUCUGGGCCUCUGCGCCAUACAUCCGCAUCGACCACCAGGACUUUAUGGAUGACGACAAGCUGGAGAAAUUCGGGGACCGCCUGCUGCUCACUACUUCCUUGGAUAAAGCCUGGAUCUCUGUGCACCAUGUUGUUGACACGACCUUGUGUUGUGACUGGAUUCGUCAUGCCAUCAUGCAUAAAGUUCGUCUCCUUCAUGUUUCUGCAUCUGCCCUUUUGGAUAGCACAGCCAUGUUUCCUUCACAGCACCUCAAAACAGUCAGGCUCCAAUAUAACUUGUUGAGACAUGGGUUCUUUAGGCCACUGAACUGUGACUGCCCAGUGCUUGAGCAUUUAGAGCUGGAGCAUUGUGGUUUGUGGGACCUGAAGGAGAUAUCAUCGAGGUCACUCAAGGUUCUACGUAUCAUUGGUUGCCAUAUCUUUGGUGGUCUCGUGAUUUGUGCUAGCAACCUUACCCAUGUCUCUAUCGUUGACCCAAGGUGUGAUCCUGGUGCUAUAGUAAUUAGGGAUCUGUCUUCUCUUGUAACAGCCUCGGUUAGUCUAACAUCUAGGUUUCAUUAUUAUAAGCGAAACACAAUAGCGGAUCAUCGUCUACUUGAUGGCCUCUCACAUGCCACCACCUUGGAGUUGCAUGCACCAUUACCUGAGGUCUCAUUCGAGAGGAGUUUGAGGACAUGCGCUAUGUUCAGCAACCUGACAAGCCUGGUGCUGGGUGAGUGGUGCAUGGCUGCUGACUUCUACCCGCUGCUUCGCAUUCUCCAGCGCUCGUGCAAGCUGAAGGAACUAAAACUUAAGCUCACAAUGGAGGAAUUUAGUACAUGCAAGGAUUCUGAAUCUGCUCUGUCGUCAACCAGGGGAGCACCGCUGUCGGGCUCAGGCAGACACCCUUGCAUCCAGAGGGUCAAAAUCUACUGCCAUGAAGAUGAUCCAAGGGCCAGCUCGUUGGUGCAGGUGUUGCAGCCGGUUGUUGGCGAUGUGAAAAUCAGCAUCGAGCAUCACUGA